rnacentral:rRNA from 1 species
AGGACGAACGCUGGCGGCGUGCUUAACACAUGCAAGUCGAACGGAAAGGCCCGCUUGCGGGUACUCGAGUGGCGAACGGGUGAGUAACACGUGGGCAACCUGCCCUCAGCUUCGGGAUAACACUUGGAAACAGGUGCUAAUACCGGAUAACAACUUUUCAUCGCAUGGUGGAUGGUUCAAAGUUUUUCGGCUGAGGAUGGGCCCGCGGCCUAUCAGCUUGUUGGUGGGGUAAUGGCCUACCAAGGCGACGACGGGUAGCCGGCCUGAGAGGGCGACCGGCCACACUGGGACUGAGACACGGCCCAGACUCCUACGGGAGGCAGCAGUGGGGAAUAUUGCGCAAUGGGCGAAAGCCUGACGCAGCGACGCCGCGUGAGGGAUGACGGCCUUCGGGUUGUAAACCUCUUUCAGCUCUGACGAAGCGCAAGUGACGGUAGGAGCAGAAGAAGCACCGGCCAACUACGCGCUAGCAGCCGC